GAUGAACGCUGGCGGCGUGCCUAAUACAAGCAAGUCGAGCGAAUGGAUUAAGAGCUUGCUCUUAUGAAGUUAGCGGCGGACGGGUGAGUAACACGUGGGUAACCUGCCCAUAAGACUGGGAUAACUCCGGGAAACCGGGGCUAAUACCGGAUAAUAUUUUGAACUGCAUGGUUCAAAAUUGAAAGGCGGCUUCGGCUGUCACUUAUGGAUGGACCCGCGUCGCAUUAGCUAGUUGGUGAGGUAACGGCUCACCAAGGCAACGAUGCGUAGCCGACCUGAGAGGGUGAUCGGCCACACUGGGACUGAGACACGGCCCAGACUCCUACGGGAGGCAGCAGUAGGGAAUCUUCCGCAAUGGACGAAAGUCUGACGGAGCAACGCCGCGUGAGUGAUGAAGGCUUUCGGGUCGUAAAACUCUGUUGUUAGGGAAGAACAAGUGCUAGUUGAAUAAGCUGGCACCUUGUCGGUACCUAACCAGAAAGCCACGGCUAACUACGUGCCAGCCGCCGCCGUAA
rnacentral:rRNA from 1 species